AAGGCUCUGAUGUGUAUGUAGGCUUUCAGGUGCUUACCGACCCCAGCUUCUGACCAGAGGAAGCCUCGGUCCCUUUCCUAGCAUGACCCCUUUGUCCUUCAAGAUCAUUGCCUCUAUUUACACUAAAUAGAGGCAGCUCCAUUUUUGAGUUCCUGUAUUUUGGGCAAACCGAGCUGGAGGUCCCCACAGCCGGUCCAAGCAGGCCUCAGCUGUCCUGAAGAUGGUCACGUGGACGGCGCUCCCAAGCCUGCUCCUCUGACAAAGUUUAGCAAACAGCUUAUCUCCCAGAAAACACGUGAGGUACCUGGGCAGUCCGUGUGCUGUGAAGCACAGCCAUGGUGAGUGGAUGAAGCACAACUUUUGAUGUCUAGAGCUGCCCCAGGGCUGCCCCAGUGACUUCUAUCCAGAGCUGAUGACCACAGACUCCCUUGUGAUGCCAGAGGAGAGGCAUUUUCUUUCCUACUCUUUGUGAAUGUGACAGAUUUUAAAU
rnacentral:lncRNA from 1 species